CCUACGGGUGGCAGCAGUGGGGAAUAUUGGACAAUGGGCGCAAGCCUGAUCCAGCCAUGCCGCGUGAGUGGUGAAGGCCUUAGGGUUGUAAAGCUCUUUUGCCGGGGACGAUAAUGACGGUACCCGGAGAAUAAGUCCCGGCUAACUUCGUGCCAGCAGCCGCGGUAAUACGAAGGGGACUAGCGUUGUUCGGAAUCACUGGGCGUAAAGCGCACGUAGGCGGAUUUGUAAGUCAGGGGUGAAAUCCCGGGGCUCAACCUCGGAACUGCCUUUGAUACUGCGAAUCUUGAGUCCGAUAGAGGUGGGUGGAAUUCCUAGUGUAGAGGUGAAAUUCGUAGAUAUUAGGAAGAACACCGGUGGCGAAGGCGGCCCACUGGAUCGGUACUGACGCUGAGGUGCGAAAGCGUGGGGAGCAAACAGGAUUAGAUACCCCAGUAGUC
rnacentral:rRNA from 1 species